GGUCCAUUGGCUCAAUGGUAGAGUGUCGGAUUCCUAGUUAGGAAUUCAUCCGAAGGUUGUGGGUUCGAGCCCCAUGUGGAUCG